rnacentral:rRNA from 1 species
UACGUAGGGUGCGAGCGUUAAUCGGAUUUACUGGGCGUAAAGCGUGCGCAGGCGGCCCGUUAAGACAGGUGUGAAAUCCCUGGGCUCAACCUAGGAAUUGCGCUUGUGACUGGCGGGCUCGAGUACGGUAAAGGGGGGUGGAAUUCCUGGUGUAGCAGUGAAAUGCGUAGAGAUCAGGAGGAACACCGAUGGCGAAGGCAGCCCCCUGGGCCUGUACUGACGCUCAUGCACGAAAGCGUGGGGAGCAAACAGG